rnacentral:rRNA from 1 species
GAUGAACGCUGGCGGCGUGCUUAACACAUGCAAGUCGAACGAAGCACUUUACUUGAUCUUUUCGGAGUGAUUGUUUUGUGACUGAGUGGCGGACGGGUGAGUAACGCGUGGGUAACCUGCCUCACACAGGGGGAUAACAGUUGGAAACGGCUGCUAAUACCGCAUAAGCGCACAGUACCGCAUGGUACGGUGUGAAAAACUCCGGUGGUGUGAGAUGGACCCGCGUCUGAUUAGCUAGUUGGCAGGGCAACGGCCUACCAAGGCGACGAUCAGUAGCCGACCUGAGAGGGUGACCGGCCACAUUGGGACUGAGACACGGCCCAAACUCCUACGGGAGGCAGCAGUGGGGAAUAUUGCACAAUGGGGGAAACCCUGAUGCAGCGACGCCGCGUGAGCGAAGAAGUAUUUCGGUAUGUAAAGCUCUAUCAGCAGGGAAGAAGAAAUGACGGUACCUGACUAAGAAGCACCGGCUAAAUACGUGCCAGCCGCCGCCGUAA